GUCUUCGUGGUGUAGCGGUCAACACGCUCGUCGCUUAUUCGAGAGGUCCGUGGUUCGACUCCCGGCGAAGGCG
rnacentral:tRNA from 1 species